rnacentral:rRNA from 1 species
CGUAGGGGGCAAGCGUUGUCCGGAUUUACUGGGCGUAAAGAGCGCGUAGGCGGAGAUCUAAGCGUGGCCUGAAAGCCCCCGGCUCAACCGGGGAGUGCGGCUGCGAACUGGGUUUCUUGAGGACGAUAGAGGAGAGUGGAAUUCCUGGUGUAGCGGUGAAAUGCGUAGAUAUCAGGAGGAACACCCGAGGCGAAGGCGGCUCUCUGGGUCGUACCUGACGCUGAGGCGCGAAAGCGUGGGGAGCGAACGGGAUUAGAUACCCCGGUAGUCCACGCCGUAAACGAUGGUCACUAGGUGUGUGUGGUAUCGACCCCGCACGUGCCGCAGCUAACGCAAUAAGUGACCCGCCUGGGGAUACGGCCGCAAGGUUG